UUUAAGUUAGGAUAGGUUUUCUCAGUCUUAUUCUUAUUAUAAUCUAAUUAGGAUUAGUUUUCCUUAACCUUGCCAAUUUUACUCAUUGUGAGGCCUAUUUAAAGGGCUUAAUAUGCUGAAAAUAAACAUUGGUGAUUAGUUUUUCCCAGCUAUUGCUUCAAAAACAUGAUUUACUUUUUAUUUCAUUGUUCUUCCUUUGUUCAACGCUUCUUGCAAUCUUGCGGGAUUGAGGAACGUGUGGGUGAGACUUCUUUCUAUCUUACAUUCUUCUAACGUGAUUUUGAAGAAUGCUUCCGCUAGUUUUGUGAAAAACUUUAGCGGGGUGCUUUUAUUUUUCUCUCUUCUUUGUACUUGAGAAGUGCAAAACCUUGAAAGUACAUCAGGUACUCACUUUUUCGUGCAACUUCAGCAUACAUGGCUGAAGUAGCAAAGGCAAUCACUGCAAAACCUUGAAAGUACGUCAAUUUUUGUGAUGUAGCUCUUUCUUUGCGUGGAUUAAAUAUCCGACUGUUUGUUAUAGAUGUAAAUUAGUGUGGAUCAAAUAUCAGAAUUGAGGAACCAAUAUCAGUUAAUCUGAGUCCAAGUGGCAGCAAUUUGAAGCCUCUGGGAAGAUUCUGAUUGGUAGUUAUGGGAGAUUAAGAUGAGCUCAAGGAAGCUGAUUGGAUAAAUUUGAAGUGAAAAUACUGAUAAAAAAAUAAAUUGGAAGAGAAUUGGUGGAAAAUAGGAAGCUGCUUGAAUAAGAAAGAAGCUAAAGAGGUUCCAGCCAAUUUAAACCAAAAAAGAUAAAGAGGGACUACUCUAUGGUUUUUACUGUUAUGGGUUUUAUUUACUUAAUUGUAUAGCAUCCACAGCCCUUGCUUAUUUCAUAUAUUUGAUUAUUAACUCUGAGAAAAAUGGAAAAAGCUCUUCUUCACCGUAAUGAUGUGAUGAAAACAUGAAAUUGGUAUGUAAGAGAGGAAUGAGACUGACAGAGAUCUCCCUGAUCCAAUAUGGUUCCAAUACUUUACUG
rnacentral:lncRNA from 1 species